ACAUGCAGUCGAACGGUAACAUGACGUGCUUGCACAUCGAUGACGAGUGGCGGACGGGUGAGUAAUGCUUGGGAACUUGCCUUUGCGAGGGGGAUAACAGUUGGAAACGACUGCUAAUACCGCAUAAUGUCUUCGGACCAAACGGGGCUUCGGCUCCGGCGCAAAGAGAGGCCCAAGUGAGAUUAGCUAGUUGGUAAGGUAACGGCUUACCAAGGCGACGAUCUCUAGCUGUUCUGAGAGGAAGAUCAGCCACACUGGGACUGAGACACGGCCCAGACUCCUACGGGAGGCAGCAGUGGGGAAUAUUGCACAAUGGGGGAAACCCUGAUGCAGCCAUGCCGCGUGUGUGAAGAAGGCCUUCGGGUUGUAAAGCACUUUCAGUUGUGAGGAAAAGUUAGUAGUUAAUACCUGCUACCCGUGACGUUAACAGCGGAAGAAGCACCGGCUAAAUCCGUGCCAGCAGCCGCGGUAAUACGGAGGGUGCGAGCGU
rnacentral:rRNA from 1 species